GCUCAAGAAAGAUAGUGCUGUCAAAAUGGUAAACAAAUCGGAAAAUUUGGUUUUGUGGAAUAAUUUAUUGAACUAAUUCGUAUUGUUACGUAUCUAAUAAUACUGUUAGUGGAAUGAAUUAUUGUGAUAAAGCCCGUGGUUGAUCGAUUGUGCUGAUGAAGAAAACAAAAUUUUCACUUUUCUUGAGCUGAACAGCAUACCUAGCUUAUACUACGCAAUUAACAUAGUAGGCCAGUGGAGUUGACAGUAGAAAAAAAUCAAUUCAAAUUUGAACGCCAUAACCGUCUGGCGGAAUACCGAACCCGCUCGAGAAACAGUGAAGCCCUAGCUUCAACCGACAUGGGUAACACUGAAACACUGAAUCCCGUUGUCUGCAAGUCAGCCACGAUCACAGCUCUGUCCUCCCUCCCUUGGUGAUCGACGGAUGGACCACUUUCCCCGAGACUGAAGCUUGACGUAGUAUUCAGCAGACCAUCGUUUUCAGAGGCGCUGCUUAGGUCAGGAACUGAGUCUUGGGUCUGAUUCAGAGUUGAGCGGCCUUUACUUAUUUAAGCGACUAAGGUAAGUUUAUAUUUUCUUUACACCUGUCUCCCAA